rnacentral:rRNA from 1 species
AUGAACGCUGGCGGCGUGCCUAAUACAUGCAAGUCGAGCGAACGGACGAGAAGCUUGCUUUUCUGAUGUUAGCGGCGGACGGGUGAGUAACACGUGGAUAACCUACCUAUAAGACUGGGAUAACUUCGGGAAACCGGAGCUAAUACCGGAUAAUAUUUUGAACCGCAUGGUUCAAAAGUGAAAGACGGUCUUGCUGUCACUUAUAGAUGGAUCCGCGCUGCAUUAGCUAGUUGGUAAGGUAACGGCUUACCAAGGCAACGAUGCAUAGCCGACCUGAGAGGGUGAUCGGCCACACUGGAACUGAGCCACGGUCCAGCCUCCUACGGGAGGCAGCAGUAGGGAAUCUUCCGCAAUGGGCGAAAGCCUGACGGAGCAACGCCGCGUGAGUGAUGAAGGUCUUCGGAUCGUAAAACUCUGUUAUUAGGGAAGAACAUAUGUGUAAGUAACUGUGCACAUCUUGACGGUACCUAAUCAGAAAGCCACGGCUAACUACGUG